UACGAAGGGGGCUAGCGUUGCUCGGAAUCACUGGGCGUAAAGCGCACGUAGGCGGAUUCCUAAGUCGGGGGUGAAACUCGGAGCUCAACUCCAGAACUGCCUUCGAUACUGGGAAUCUUGAGUCCGGAAGAGGUGAGUGGAACUGCGAGUGUAAAGGUGAAAUUCGUAGAUAUUAGGAAGAACACCAGUGGCGAAGGCGGCUCACUGGUCCGGUACUGACGCUGAGGUGCGAAAGCGUGGGGAGCAAACGGGG
rnacentral:rRNA from 1 species